rnacentral:rRNA from 1 species
AACGAACGCUGGCGGCAUGCCUAACACAUGCAAGUCGAACGAGACCUUCGGGUCUAGUGGCGCACGGGUGCGUAACGCGUGGGAACCUGCCCUUAGGUUCGGAAUAACUCCCCGAAAGGGGUGCUAAUACCGGAUAAUGUCUUCGGACCAAAGAUUUAUCGCCUUUGGAUGGGCCGCGUUGGAUUAGCUAGUUGGUAGGGUAAAAGCCUACCAAGGCGACGAUCCAUAGCUGGUCUGAGAGGAUGAUCAGCCACACUGGGACUGAGACACGGCCCAGACUCCGCGGGGGGGAGGCAGGGGGAAAUUUGGAAAAAGGGGAGAAGGCUUGACCAAGAAGGGCCGGGUGAGGGAGAAGGCCUUGGGGUUUGAAAAUCUUUUUUACCGGGGAGGAAAAGGAGGGGACGGGAAAAAAAGGCCCGGGCAAACCCGGUG